UACGUACUUCCUCCAUUCGGAAAUACUUGUCAUCAAAAUGAAUAAAAGAAAAUGUAUGUAGAUGUAUUUUAGUUCUAGAUACAUGCUUUUUUAUCCAUUUUGAUGACAAGUAUUUCCGGACGGAAGGAGUAAGAA
rfam:Triticum aestivum genome assembly, contig: Triticum_aestivum_CS42_TGACv1_scaffold_641141_T_4BL-0.122755_4BS-0.065475